rnacentral:rRNA from 1 species
AGAGUUUGAUCCUGGCUCAGGACGAACGCUGGCGGCGCGCCUAACACAUGCAAGUCGAACGAGAGAUGAGGAGCUUGCUCUUCAGAUCGAGUGGCGAACGGGUGAGUAACGCGUGAGGAACCUGCCUCAAAGAGGGGGACAACAGUUGGAAACGACUGCUAAUACCGCAUAAGCCCACGGCUCGGCAUCGAGCAGAGGGAAAAGGAGCAAUCCGCUUUGAGAUGGCCUCGCGUCCGAUUAGCUAGUUGGUGAGGUAACGGCCCACCAAGGCAACGAUCGGUAGCCGGACUGAGAGGUUGAACGGCCACAUUGGGACUGAGACACGGCCCAGACUCCUACGGGAGGCAGCAGUGGGGAAUAUUGCACAAUGGGGGAAACCCUGAUGCAGCGACGCCGCGUGGAGGAAGAAGGUCUUCGGAUUGUAAACUCCUGUUGUUGAGGAAGAUAAUGACGGUACUCAACAAGGAAGUGACGGCUAACUACGUGCCAGCAGCCGCGGUAAAACGUAGGUCACAAGCGUUGUCCGGAAUUACUGGGUGUAAAGGGAGCGCAGGCGGGAAGACAAGUUGGAAGUGAAAUCUAUGGGCUCAACCCAUAAACUGCUUUCAAAACUGUUUUUCUUGAGUAGUGCAGAGGUAGGCGGAAUUCCCGGUGUAGCGGUGGAAUGCGUAGAUAUCGGGAGGAACACCAGUGGCGAAGGCGGCCUACUGGGCACCAACUGACGCUGAGGCUCGAAAGUGUGGGUAGCAAACAGGAUUAGAUACCCUGGUAGUCCACACCGUAAACGAUGAUUACUAGGUGUUGGAGGAUUGACCCCUUCAGUGCCGCAGUUAACACAAUAAGUAAUCCACCUGGGGAGUACGACCGCAAGGUUGAAACUCAAAGGAAUUGACGGGGGCCCGCACAAGCAGUGGAGUAUGUGGUUUAAUUCGACGCAACGCGAAGAACCUUACCAAGUCUUGACAUCCCUUGACGAUGCUGGAAACAGUAUUUCUCUUCGGAGCAAGGAGACAGGUGGUGCAUGGUUGUCGUCAGCUCGUGUCGUGAGAUGUUGGGUUAAGUC